GUGCUUGCUUCGGCAGCACAAAUACUGAAAUUGGAAUGAUACAGAGAAGAUUAGCACGACUCCUGUGCUUGCUCAAGAAUGACGUGUAAAUUCGUGAGUGUUCCAUAUUGAA